UACGUAGGGUGCGAGCGUUGUCCGGAAUUAUUGGGCGUAAAGGGCUCGUAGGCGGUUUGUCGCGUCGGGAGUGAAAACACUGGGCUUAACUCAGUGCUCGCUUCCGAUACGGGCAGACUAGAGGUAUGCAGGGGAGAACGGAAUUCCUGGUGUAGCGGUGAAAUGCGCAGAUAUCAGGAGGAACACCGGUGGCGAAGGCGGUUCUCUGGGCAUUACCUGACGCUGAGGAGCGAAAGUGUGGGGAGCGAACAGG
rnacentral:rRNA from 1 species